rnacentral:rRNA from 1 species
AGAGUUUGAUCCUGGCUUAGGAUGAACGCUCGCGGCAUGCUUAACACAUGCAAGUUGAACGGGAAGUGGUGUUUCCAGUGGCGAACGGGUGAGUAACGCAUAAGAACUUGUCCUUGGGAGGGGAACAACAACUGGAAACGGUUGCUAAUACCCCGUAGGCUGAGGAGCAAAAGGAGAAAUCCGCCCAAGGAGGGGCUCACGUCUGAUUAGCUUGUUGGUGAGGUAAUAGCUUACCAAGGCGAUGAUCAGUAGCUGGUCUGAGAGGAUGAUCAGCCACACUGGGACUAAGACAUGGCCCAGACUCCUACGGGAGGCAGCAGUGGGGAAUUUUCCGCAAUGGGCGAAAGCCUGACGGAGCAAUGCAGCGUGGAGGUGGAAGGCCUACGGGUGGUCAACUUGUUUUCUCGGAGAAGAAACAAUGAUGGUAUUUGAGGAAUAAGCAUAGGAUAACUUUGUGCCAGCAGCCACGGUAAGACAGAGGAUGCAAGCGUUAUUCGGAAUGAUUGGGCGUAAAGCGUCUGUAGGUGGCUUUUCAAGUCCGCCAUCAAAUCGCAGGGCUGAACCCUGGACAAGCGAUGGAAACUACCAAGAUGGAGUACAAUAGGGUCAGAGGGAAUUUCUGGUGGAGCGGUGAAAUGCAUUGAGAUCGGAAAGAACACCAAUGGCGAAAGCACUCUGCUGGGCCGACACUGACACUGAGAGACAAAAGCUAGGGGAGCAAAUGGGAUUAGAGACCCCAGUAGUCCUAGCCGUAAACGAUGGAUACUAGGUGCUGUGCGACUCGACCCAUGCAGUGUUGUAGCAAAUGCAUUAAGUAUCCUGCCUGGGGAGUACGUUCACAAGAAUGAAACUCAAAGUAAUUGAUGGGAGCCCGCACAAGCGGUGGAGCAUGUGGUUUAAUUCGAUGCAAAGCGAAGAACCUUACCAGGGCUUGACAUGCCGCGAAUCCUCUUGAAAGAGAGGGGUGCCCUCGGGAACGUGGACACAUGUGGUGCAUGGCUGUCAUCAACUCGUGUCGUAAGGUGUUGGGUUAAGUCUCGCAACGAGUGCAACCCUCGUGUUUAGUUUCUACUAUGAGUUUCGAACCCUGAACAGACUGCCGGUUUUAAGCCGGAGGAAGGAGAGGAUGAGGCCAAGUCAUCAUGCCCCUUAUGCCCUGGGGACACACGUGCUACAAUGGGAGGGACAAAGGUCGCGAUCUCGCGAGGGUGAGCUAAUUCCAAAAACCCGUCCUCAGUUCGGAUUGCAGGCUACAACUCGCCUGCAUGAAGCAGGAAUCGUUAGUAAUCGCCGGUCAGCCAUACGGCGGUGAAUACGUUCCCGAGCCUUGUACAAACCGCCAAUCACACUAUAGGAGCUCGCCAUAUUUGAAGUCAUUACCCUUAACCAUAAGGAGGGGAUGCCUAAGGCUAGGCUUGCGACUGGAGUGAAGUCGUAACAAGGUAGCCGUACUGGAAGGUGCGACUG